UACGAAGGGGGCUAGCGUUGCUCGGAAUUACUGGGCGUAAAGGGCUCGUAGGCGGCCAACUAAGUCAGACGUGAAAUCCCUCGGCUUAACCGGGGAACUGCGUCUGAUACUGGAUGGCUUGAGUUCGGGAGAGGGAUGUGGAAUUCCAGGUGUAGCGGUGAAAUGCGUAGAUAUCUGGAGGAACACCGGUGGCGAAGGCGGCAUCCUGGACCGACACUGACGCUGAUGAGCGAAAGCCAGGGGAGCAAACGGG
rnacentral:rRNA from 1 species